rnacentral:rRNA from 1 species
GACAGAGGGUGCAAACGUUGUUCGGAUUUACUGGGCGUAAAGCGUGUGUAGGCGGCUUGGCAAGUUGGAUGUGAAAGCCCACGGCUCAACCGUGGAAGCGCACCCAAAACUGCUUCGCUCGAGUCUCGGAGAGGAAGGUGGAAUGCUUGGUGUAGAGGUGAAAUUCGUAGAUAUCGGGAGGAACACCAGUGGCGAAGGCGGCUCUCUGGGCAAUGACUGACACUGAGACGCGAAAGCGUGGGUAGCAAACAGG